rnacentral:rRNA from 1 species
GGCGAGUGGCGGACGGGUGAGUAACGCGUAGGAAUCUGCCCUAAAGAGGGGGACGACCCGAGGAAACUCGGGCUAAUACCGCAUAAUCUCGAAAGAGAAAAGCUGGGGCAACCUGGCACUUUAGGAGGAGCCUGCGUCCGAUUAGCUAGUUGGUGAGGUAAAAGCUCACCAAGGCGAUGAUCGGUAGCUGGUCUGAGAGGAUGAUCAGCCACACUGGGACUGAGACACGGCCCAGACUCCUACGGGAGGCAGCAGUGGGGAAUAUUGGACAAUGGGGGCAACCCUGAUCCAGCAAUGCCGCGUGUGUGAAGAAGGCCUUAGGGUUGUAAAGCACUUUAGUUGGGGAAGAAGAUAUUUUGUUUAAGAGAUGAGAUAUUUGACGGUACCCAAAGAAUAAGCACCGGCUAACUCUGUGCCAGCAGCCGCGGUAAUACAGAGGGUGCAAGCGUUAAUCGGAGUUACUGGGCGUAAAGGGCGCGUAGGCGGUUAUUUAAGUUUGAUGUGAAAUCCCUGGGCUUAACCUAGGAACUGCAUUGAAAA